UUACAAUUAGGUGCUCUCACUGCCGUGGCCUGGGUUUGUUUCCCAGUCAGGGAACCACAUCACCUGUCUGUCAGUUGUCAUACUGACAUACUGUGGCAGCUGGGCAUUGCUGUGAUGCUGAAAGCUUUGCCACCAGUAUUUCAAAUACCAGCAGGGUCACCCAUGGUGGAUAGGUUUCAGUGGAGCUUCCAGACUAAGGCAGACAAGGAAGAAGGACCUGACCGCCCACUUCCAAAAAAAUUGGCCAUGAAAAACUCUCUGAAUAGCAGCAGAGCAUUGUCUGAUAACAGUGCUGGAAGGAGAGAGGAUGCCGCAAAAGACCAGCUAGACAUCUGGAACCUUUCUUCUGCAAACGAGAUCCAGUCUGAUCCCUUCUCAGAUUGAUGUAUGACUCCCUCACUAGACUAUAAGCUCAGGACAUAAGCUAUAUUUCAGUCACCAUUUUAUGCCGAAAGACACACAGAGGGAAGAAAGCAGAGAGUCAUCCUAACAGAAUAUUCAGCAACAGCAAGCAAACUUCAGCCAAGAGAAACAUCUUAGAUUCUCCCAAUCUCUCCCUCCUUAUUCUCCACCCCACACCCCACCUUAGCCCCCACCUGCUAUGCUAACAGCAAGAAGACUGCCUGCUGUCUGCAGGCCAGGAAGAGAACUCUCACAAGAACCCAACCAUGCUUGAUCUUGGACUUCCAAGCCUCCAGAACUGUGUGAAAUAAAUGUCUGUUGUUUAAGCCUCCCAGUCUAUAUUGUUUUGUUAUAGCAGCC
rnacentral:lncRNA from 1 species